GUGCAAUGCUGACAAUAAUUUCGUCACCUGAAUUACCUCAUGCUUUUGAGCUUUUUAACCCUGGCCACA